GCCUAUGACCAAAUCACCGACAAUGCACUCGGUCUCGUCAGAUCUCGGAAGCUAAGGGCUCAGCAGCCUUGACAGUGCUUGUAUGGCUGACCACCAGGCAUAACAGGUGUUGUAGGAU
rnacentral:rRNA from 1 species